UCUGGGAUAGCUCAGUCGGCAAAGCAUGAGACUCUUAAUCUCUGGGUUGUGGGUUCAAGCCUCACAUUGGGCAAAA